UACCAGCACCCCGAGUGGUCGGGACGAUUAUUGGGCCUAAAGCAUCCGUAGCCGGUCCUACAAGUCUUCCGUUAAAUCCACCUGCUUAACAGAUGGGCUGCGGAAGAUACUAUAGGGCUAGGAGGCGGGAGAGGCAAGCGGUACUCAGUGGGUAGGGGUAAAAUCCUCUGAUCCAUUGAAGACCACCAGUGGCGAAGGCGGCUUGCCAGAACGCGCUCGACGGUGAGGGAUGAAAGCUGGGG
rnacentral:rRNA from 1 species